AUAUAGGAAGCUGGUCAAAAAUAUUAGUCUCUUCUCACUGACAAAUUUUAAUAUUCUUUUCUGAUAUUAUCAGAAUCAUCUCAGAUUUCUCUGAUUAUUCAUGAAUUGCAUAACUUUCCUGAUCUAUAGUGAUUCCUGCGUAAUCACAGAAUCAGAUUGAACUGGUUACUUUCAAUACCAAAAUACUGAGGAGUUUUCAGAAACAACAGAACAAAACUGCAAACCGUACAGCUGAAGCAUACGCAGGCUAGAAAAUUUUGACUUCAGGUAAGACCUGAAAGCAAAGUUUCUACAUGGAGCCUAAGGACCAAGGCAUGACUUGAAUCCUGGGAACCCUUCUGGAAAUGAAGGGUUCACUUCCCAGGAAUAUCAGGUACUAAAGCCCAUUUUGUGGUAACUUUCUAUAAAAGGCCAAGUUCCAAAGCCUUCCAAUUGGAACCUGCCUUGCCAGUAUUUCUUCUGCAUACCAACCCUCCUCCCCUAACUCAUAAAAGUUUGACAUAACUGUGGGUAGGGAGACAGAUCAGCGAUUUGCCUCCAGUCUCCUAGCCAUGUCAACAUCACAAUAAAGCUGUUUCUCUUCUCAAAAGCCAGUACUGUAGUAUUGAGUUCUAUGCAUAUCAGGUAGCCAGUCCUUGCUUAGCAACACCUACGUAUGCAUUUUUUCCCACAAGUUUCCAUUGGGACAUUAUGAAAUGUUUUACUCUUUGUGGAGUUUAUAUUGAUAUUUUACCAAAUUUGCUUGCACCUUAUUUCACUAGCUUUUUACUUUUAUUUUGUCAAUUUAUUUUUUUUUCCCUAUACAUAAAAAGAGACCCUGUUAACUUUGAAGGAAGAAAAAUAGGAAUUUGAAUGAGGACUCUUUCCUUCAGUACUUCUUUCUGAGCCCAUAUUUCCUUAUAUAUAAUUUAAAAUAAUGAUAGAAAUAGCAUCAAUCAAUGUUGAUCAUGUGCUUAUUUUGCAGUGGGUAUAGUCUAGUAAGAACUUUACAGAUGAUGAAAGGUCUAGUCAGUCAUUGUUAGAUCUUUGGCUUUUACUCUGUUUGAGACGGGAAGCCCUUAGAGCAGUUUAAGCUGUAAAGCGCCAUAACAAGACACUGGCUUCUGAGGAGCAAAUUGACCAAAGGUGCCAAGAACAGGAAGACCAUUAGGGUAGGAGGUGAUUUCAAAAAAUCUUUGCAAGUGAAGAUGGUGGUUUGCACCUGAGGCUGGCAGUAAAGAGGGGAGAACACUUCAGAUUAUGAUGGAUUCUGAAAAUGUAGUCUUUAGUAUUUGAUCAUAGAUUGGACAUAUGAUAUUAAAAAACAUGCAAUCAAUGAAGAUUUCUAUGUUUUUGAAUUGAAGGAUAGCAAGAAUAGACUUUUAUUGGGGAAUUUUGAGAGAAAGUCAUUUUGGUAAAAAUAUGAGUAUGGUUAUAGUCAUGUUAUUUUGAGAGACCUAUUAAAAUAUGUGUACAAAUAUAAAUGCAUAUACCCAUGUGUAUAAAUAUAUCUUUAAGAAAUUAUUCCAUAGUUAAAUAAAUGUCAAGUUAUUGUGCAAGACUGGAAAAUAAAACUGUAAAUACUUUAAUAAGUUGAUAAAUGGAGUUUUCAACAUAUACAGAGAUUGUUUAAAGAAAUAAAAAUGUUUGUUCAUUGCAACAAAAUAAGCAGAGCAUAAAUAUCUUUUCUUAAAGAAAUGCCACUCUAUGGGCAGUAUUUUCUUUGCUAAAAUCAAAAAAAUCUGUAAAAUCUAUUCCAUAGAAAUAAUACAUACAAAAGUCAUAUUUUGCUAGAUUUUUUUAAGAAAUUUUAUUUUCUAAAAUAUGUGAAUCUGCAGAGAAGUCCUUGGAACUGAAAUAGCUAGAGCUCUAGAAAUAAGUACUUUAAAGAUUUGCACAGCUGCAGAUACAGAAUCUGAGAAAACAAUACUGUAAUUAUUUAACCACAUCAAUGAGGCCUAUGACAUUUUACGUGUUAAGAAAACCUGACUCAGACUACCUGAAGAAACUCUCUAGCUUAUAAAGAAGAUUCACAGUGAUUCACGAAACCAAGCGAAAAAUGGCAGCUUUAUCUUAGGAGCACUAGGUUUUCUCUCAGUGCAUUUACUUUAUUCUCUUUUGCUCCCCAUAGACAACUUUUUCUUCUUUCUCCCUCAUGGAAUAAUAGUAUUUAUUAUGCAUAGUUUCAUCACUUACAAAGAUUGGUCUUUUCUCCAAUUAAUUGCACUAUUAUUAGGAGACAGGCUUUGAUCAGCCCUACUUCAGUCAAGUAUCUAUUCACUUAGAUUAGGAAGAGUUUAGUAUAAACACAAGGAUGUUCAUCCUUGCGUUGUGUCUGUGUCAUUCACAGAGAAAUGCUUUGAACAAAUUAUGCACUCAUAAGAAGAACAAGCAAGUACAGUGAUCCCCUAAGUAGCAAAUGAACUUAGAGUGAAAAGAGAAGUCAUCAGCAGAUAGUGUAGAGGCAAGAUUAAGACAAGGGAAAUAGUGAGAGAGAAAGAGAAAGAAUAUAUGAACCUGGCUAUUCUUAGUUAAGCGACUCACCAGUAAUGAAAUGGAAAGCAUUUGGCGCUGAGACUUGAAACCACACUGUAACUUCUCUGUAUAUCAUUUUCAUAUUGAAAUAUAUAUAUUUAUGCACAUAUGUACAUUUAUACAUUAUUAUACAUAGCUAAUGUUUAUUUACAUAUCUAUUAUGUCUAUAUGUAUACAUAUAAAAAUAUAGAGAUACUUAAAUAAAGUUGUUUUUUCAGGGAUUAACUCCAUUGCCAUGUUAAAAAAAUCAGAAUUAAUUGCAGCUGUUUAGAUGAAUAUGUAAGUAAGUCCAGUGGAAUUAACCAAUUUGAGAAGUCAAAAUCUUGAUGCUCAGAGUUUUGAACUGACAAGAAAAGCAUCACUAUUUGCAUAAUAGGGGCUAAUCAGGUCUUAUUUUACUUGAUAAUGACUAUCCACAAGAUUUAUAUUUCCUUUUAUCAAGCAGCUCCUGGUGGUUAUGAAAAGCAUUUGCACAAUAAGAAUAUUUUUGGUGGAGUGAAACCUUUCUGAAUCCCUAUUCCUAAGACACAGAAAAUUACAUUGGAUUUCUCAUUCAUUUAUACUGUCAAAUAAUCUUUUCUACUGGUUUCUCUCACUUUAUUAAUUUUUAAAAUCUAUUUUCUAUCUCUGAUGAACAGGAAAUGGAGGGGUUAAAAAAAACUAGUUUUGUUAUCUGAUUAAACUAGACCAUAGUCUAAUAAAGUGCUUACGAAUGAUAUCCUGCACUCAAGAUUUACUGAAAUACAACUUAUUCAGAAUAUACUAGUUUGAAUAAGUGACAUAAUAAAUACUAUUUUAUUAAUGUGUAUAACAUUAAAAUGCUUAAAACUAUUCUAUUACACAUAGAAAAACAUAAGUAUUUUAUUAAAUUGCAUUUUAAAUGAGAAAGUGAAGUAGACAUAUGAUUAAAUUUUACUUAUAUAGACAACAGUUUUGCAAAUUUUUCAUUGAUGGCAAAGCACAUAUGACAACUAAGCCCUUGUAUCUGUAAGUUCUCCAUGUGGAUAUGUUAUAGCUCCCUGUAACCUGUAUAUUUGCAUAAAGUGAUCUGGAUAACAGAUUAGGAGAAAUUACUUUUUGAGAAGUAAAAAGGCUUUUAUUUGGUUAAAAAUAAAUUAUUUGCUCUUCUGAAUGAAUCUGCGUAUUAAUAGCUUUCAUUAUUAUUGCCAUUCAGGCCUUAUGUACUAUUCAUUUCUAACUGCCUACAGCCUUUUCUUGAUUUAAAAAAAAAUGCAAACUACUUGUGAGAUAUUCUGUACUUGUCUGAUUGCCUUGAAAACUAUGAGGGAUUCUUUAGAAUAUAAGUCCUGAAUCAUUAAAGGAUUUAUUUUGCAUCUCAUGCAUUCAAAAGAUUUGGAAUUCAUUUUGAAAUUUUGCAAAGCACACUAGUAUCUCAUGGGUUUUUACUCCCCAAACCCAAAAUUCUCAACACUACCUGGGCUUGAGGUAUAUAAGAUAAAAGAUGAGCAAAUUCCUUUUGAGUAUAACUUUAAAUCACAUUAGUGAAGAAGCCAAUAUUUAUGUUAUGUUUAUAUUAUGUUUAAAAUACUAACUUAGCUCCUAUUCUGGUAUCAAGUUUAACCUGAAUUUUCUCCAUAUUGCUUUAAGUCCAGAAAAAUAUAAACUCGUACACAAUAAUUAACUUCUAAAAUUUAUGCUAGUGUACUGAAUCAUGAGCUUCUAGAAGUCAGAAUAAUUUGUUGCUUAUUAAAACUAUUUUACAAGGACUAGAUAGAGUGUAAGGCACAUGACAGAUGUUCAGUAAAUUUUUUUUGUUGUUGAAAGAAUGAAUACAGGGCAUUAAAAAACAACUUCUUGUUUUAGUCAUAGAAUCAAAGGUUAUUUGGAAUAUGUGUGAACAAACUGUGGUUCUAAAUUCCAAUUACUCCACUUGAGUUUCAUCUUGGAAAUUUCCAAACUAAGUAAAACUAUUCUAUCAUUUGUUUCUUUAAAUAAAUCUUAUUUGGGAUUGUUUAAUAUUUGCCUUAUAUGCUUUUCCAUAAUGUUUCUAAUGACAGUAUCAUUAUUCUGUUGAAUAUACAAAGAGUUUCUUUUUCACUUAUGAUGAAUGAGAAAAUAACCACAUUUGGAAAACAAUUGCUGCAAAAUAAAUUAUAUGCUAAUGUAUUGCAACUUAAUAAAAAGAAACAUUUCAAAUUCAGGCUUAGGAGUUUAAAUGUAAAAUACCAAUAUAAACAGAAUACCUGACUUUCAGGAUAGAUGCAUUCUUUCCAAUUCUCCCUUAAAAUUCCAAUGGAAAGAUAGGAAAGUGUGACAAUUGGAAACAUGAGAGAAAAUUAAGAUUGAUGUCCAGCCCCACGUAAGAAAGGAUUUCUAUUUUCUGCAAGCCCUGUGGAGUUGAACUGAAAAUCCCAGUCAGUGGCAAGAUGCCUGCUGGCAAGCCAUGAUGGUACUAACCAGCUGUAGAGAUAUAUUGAAUUAGGGGAAAACAGCCUUGUAAGAAUGACAUUUGCAUAUUGAUGUGUAAUCCAAUCAAGUUAACAACUCAGGUUUGGGCACAGACAGGAAGAAUCGAGGACAAAGAGCUGGAGGGACAUAAAUUCUGGGUACUGUUAUUGCUGUUUUGUUUUUCACUAACUUUCCUUUUGUAAAAAAGAGAAAGGAAUUUGGCACACACAGUACAGGUUAAAGAACCAUAUGCAUAUGUUAUGUAACAUAGUGUUGUAGGUCAAUUAUACUUCAACAACAAAAAAAACUCAGAAAAAGAGAUCAGAUUUGUGAUCACCAGAGGUAGGAGGUGGCUGGAAGGGGAAUUGGAAGAAAGUAGAGACACCCCCCCCAAAAAAAAAGAAUUUUGCACACAGAGAUUAGUUGGUGAAGUUUAAUUUUAGGUAUAUAUGUGCUCUUUAGAGGAUGACUAAUGAGAAAGAAAAUACAGUUGGACCCAUGGAAAUAUACUACUGUCUGAUAAAGAAGAAGCCCUACCUUGAAAGUGAAAAGAAAAGUGUACCUUUUAAAAAUGAUUUAUUGUAGUAAUAUUUUAGAAAUCUGUUUGGUAUUUUAAUAAGAUUCAGGAUGGCUCUGUGAAAUGGUAGCACAGAGAAAUAAGGAAAGAACAAUGUGUGAUAUAAAAAAGACCACAGAUCUUCUAAAUACAGAAACUAGCUAAAAGAAAAAAGUUUGGUUUUACAGUAGGCUGCAAAAAUUGAAGGGUCCAAGGAGAAGCUGUAAAUAAAUAAGCAAAAACAUUCCCCUAAAGGGAACAAAGUGCAGCAGCAGUAAUUUGGGACCUUGUCCUUAGGUCUGUUCUAUAAAUACAUCCAGCUGUUCAGUCUCUGGUUCCAUAGAUCAAAUCCUGAAUAGAUAAUAAGAUCAACUCUAAAUCUACAACUUUAUAUCUCUUGUUUCACAUGGACUCUCUGACUCAGUCAGUUACAGCUGAUGUGAAUGGUAUCCUAUGGAUUGCCAAAAGCUGGAGGCAGUGACAAAUAAUCUUAAAAGAUAUUGACUGAAAGGAAAGAGCAGUUGUCCUAGUUCAUCCCAACUCCUUGACAAUCAGACUAACUGUAGACAGCAAAGAGUAGAAUUAGUCUUGCAGGCAAAGAGUGGUAUGGAGCACACAGUGAUGUACUGUGAUGCAAACACAUGAUUUUUCAAAAAAAGAUGAAAAUAAUAAGGAACACAAAAAAUGGCGGUAGAGGUCUAUCAAAGUAUGUUAAGUAUUUCUGAGAAAGAAGAGUAGUGAUAAAAAAUACAUGCCUAGAGACUUGUACUAAACUUUAAAAAACCCCAACAAUCCAGAAUUCUUGUCGUGGCUCAGUAGUUGACAAAUAUGACUAGCAUCCAUGAGGACACAGGUUCGAUCCCUGGUCUCACUCAGUGGGUUAAGGAUCCAGCAUUGCCAUGAGCUGAGGUGUGGGUCACAGACCUGGUUUGGCUCCCAGGUUGCUGUGUAUGGUGUAGGCAGGAGGCUAUAGCUCUGAUUUCACCCCUAACCUGGGAACCUCCAUAUACCAUGAGUGUGGCC
rnacentral:lncRNA from 1 species